AACGAUCACUCUCAAAGGUGCACGUCUGUUAGCUCCGACAGGAUGGUGUCCUAUCAGGGUCCUUUUCCCUGACUUGAGAAUGAAGAGUAUCUGUCAUGAAGGGAGAAGUCACAGUCAGCUGGAAUAAGGAGGCCGUCAGCAAGACAGGCUGUCAGGCUCUCCUGGGUUUUCUCUGAAAGACUUCAGCCCACACCUCCCCUUCUGGACACUGAGUGGGAAUAACAAGAAUCAGAGGCCGCCCCGAACAACAGAGCUCCAAGUGGAGCUCGGGGGUGAACUCAGAGUCCUGCUCUUUCUCCCCCUCAUUUGACCCCAGAGAGCAGCAGAAUACAGUGCAGUGGCUGUGAAAUGGAUUUUGAAUAGAUUAUGAUAUUCAUGAGCAUUUUUUGCGGGGGAGUCUCUUUUAAGUAGUGUUUUUUUUGACAAUUUUGGGACAUUUAAGUUAGCAAUGACAUCAAGAAUCUGAUGGAAACCAUAAGCUCUCACCACAGCAACAUGCGCACACCCACAAACUCAGUGGCUCAUGGACUCUCUGCAGGUCACUGAUGGUUCUUAGGUUAGGAAGGGGCUGGAGGCAUCUCACAAUAUUUAUUUGCUGGUUACCUGAUCCUAGCAUCUGUAAGUGUGCUCAAGCGAGCGGACGGGCAUGGAUCUGGAAUGCAGAGGAGCCCAGGCAUGAAGCAGCAGCACAGGCAGCAACUUGCUCUGACAACACCCCCUGACUUCUCUGACUGGAUGGGUUACACAACCCAGCGGCCUGUCAUCCUGACCAUCAGGUCAGAAAUGAUUGGUGAUAAAGUUAGUCACUCAGUCACUUAGAUAAGUGGGCAGGCAGUGAAGUCUGCUUCAUACACUACCUAUUAAGUUUAGUUCCAGUGUCAGGCAAGCAGCUGAGAUUCAACAUCAUUCAUUUAAACAGUUUUGUUUAUCUUGAGAUAUUUUUUAAGUUUCCUUUUCAUUUUCUCUUUGACCCACUGGUAGCUCAAGAGUGUAUUAUUUAGUUUCCAUCUAUUUGUGAAUUUUCCUGUUUUCUUACCAUUAUUGGUUUCUAAUUUUCUUCCAUUGUGGUAGGAAAAGAUACUCGGUAUGAUUUUCAACCUUUUUUUUUUUUUUUUUGAGACGGAGUCUUACUCUGUUGUCCAGGCUGGAGUGCACUGGCACAAUGUUGGCUCACUGCAACCUCUGCCUCCCAGGUUCAAGCGAUUCUCCUGCCUCCGCCUCCUGAGGAGCUGGGACUACAGGCACAUGCCACCAUGCCCAGCUAAUUUUUGCAUUUUCUUAGUAGAGACGGGGUUUCACCAUAUUGGCCAGGCUGGACUCAAACUCCUGACCUUGUGAUCCACCUGCCUCAGCCUCCCAAAGUGCUGGGAUUACAGGCAUAAGCCACCGCGCCCGGCUGAUUUGCAACUUUUUAAAAUUAGUUAAGAUUUGAUUUGUGACCUAAUGUGAUCCUAGGAAAGUUUUGUGGGCAUUUGGGAAGAAUGUGUAUUCUGCUAUUAUGUGGGAAGUUCUGUAUGUGUCUGUUGGAUCCAUUCAGAAUAUAGCAUCGAUCAAGUCAGCUGUUUCUGUAUUGCUCUUCUGCCUGGAUAUUCUAUUAUUACAAGUGGAGAAUUGAAGUCUCCUACUAUUAUGGUAUUGCACUCAAUUUCUCCCUUUGGAUCUGUCAAUAUUUGCUUUAUGUAUCUGUAUAUUUGGGUGCUAGUCACAUAAUUUGCAGUUUUUCAAAUGGAUUUUUGACUUUUCAUCAGCUUGGAAGAGCUUUUUUUAUCAUACAUAUGAACUGUGAAUAAAUUUUCUUAGUCGAUUUGGGUUGUUUUAGUCCCUCAAAGGUAUCUAAUGUUUUAUAGCGAAAUCCUUUCCCUUUUCUUUUACAGUUUCUAUAUUUUUGUUUUCAUGUAAAAGUUGUCACAAUCUCUACAACACACAUAGGUUUUCCUUUUUUAUUGUCUGUUUCACCAACUAAAAUAUGUUCUUCAUGUGGAAAAGGACAUAACCUAUCUUGUUCAUCAUUGUAUCACCAGUUCCUAGAGCAGGCCUCAAGUAUGUCAACAACUUAAUAAGUAUAUUGUGAGUACAUAAAUGAAAUUAUUUUUAUUUCUGUAAAACCCCUUGUGUAUGCACUUGACUGACUCAAGUAAAAUGGUCUGAACUGGAGAAAGGAACUAUUCCCUUCAAAGUAUGUCAUAGGGCCUUCAACUUACACUGUUAGUGCAACAAGAUCUCCAUCAUUGCUUAAGUGUGUCAAAACUCAGACAUUCAUCAAUAGCUCCAAUAAGACAAAGUUGUCAUAUGGGUUAGCCUCUGAUUUUUCUUUUUCAGAUGGAGUCUCUCAAGCUGGAGUGCAGUGGCGUGAUCUCGGCUCACUGCAACCUCUGCCUCCCGGGUUCAAGUGAUUCCUCCAGCUCAGCCUCCCAAGUAGCUGGGAUUACAGGAUUCCAUAUCAGGAUACCACAGGACACUGAGUCCUUAGGUUCUUCCCGGCUGUGAUCGUUUCUCAGGCCUACAUUGUUUUUGAUGACCUUGAUGGUUUUAGGGGGUACUAGUCAGGUGUUUUUGGGAACUGUUUCUCAGCUGAGGUUUGUCUGAUGUAGUGGGAUUAUUAGUUUUGGGAGGGAACAUGUCAAGGUAAAAUGCCAUUCUCAUCCUGUCGUAUGAUACACACUUUCAACUUGACUGAUCACUGCUCACACUGGCCUUGAUCACCUGGCUGAGACAGUGUUUGUUAGGUUUCUCCAACGUGAAGUUACUCUUUUUCCUCCUUUGCUAUACUGAGUUCUUGGUAGGAUGUCAUUAUGUGAAGCCCACAGUUUAGAAGUGGGGAGUGAUGCUCUGCUUCCUGGAGUGUCUGAUCUCCUUUUGAAAUGAUUUUUCAUGCUGAACACAGAGUAAUUAAAGUAAGAAAAAUACGGAUAUUGAAUGACUAGUUGCAAGAAGUCCAUUAUGACAUCUGACAUGAAAAAUUAUCUAUCUACCUGUCUAUUAAACGAUUAUAUCUGUGUAUACAAACAUUAAAUACUAAGCUAUGCA